rnacentral:lncRNA from 1 species
GAAAAAGAGUACAAAGUUUACAGACAGCAACACUAGUGUGUACGAGUGGUGUGUACAUGUGACACACUGGGCUUUGUGACUCCAUUGGAAUUAAUUGUCUUAUAUGAUUCCGGAACUUCCUAUGUAUUUCUGUACAGCGCUUCAGCUCCAAGUUAGCUGGGCUGUAGAGAAUUCAGCUGGAGCAAAAUACAGACAGACACCCAGUUAUAAGGAGAGAGCGAGGUGAGAAAUGCAUAGCAGUGGUCCUGGCAGCCUGUGGGGGAACAAGGACACACUUCUGCAACUUGUGAACAUUUCCUCAGGACAUCAGCAAUGCUAAGGGGGAAGUGAGAAGAUUGCUGAUCCGUGCACUGGAGUUGGGCAAGACCGUGGGACCCGCCGCAGCCAACGGGACAAGAGCAGAAUUCACAAAGUCUUCAUUUCCACAGUUGGGAAGACAGCACAACACCUUAGUUACUGGAGCAGUGGAUAUCUACAAGCGUAAAGACACUGUGAAGUGCCUGGUUACGUCUGCUGGGCGCCAAGUGCAGCACUGAACACACUUUACCAGGUAACUGGCAUUCACCUUGGAGACAGGACUUUGUCUUUUUGCCUCUUUUGAUCCUCUGGUCUUUGGACCUUUCGUGUGUCGACUUACAUUGAAUGGUUUCUCAUAUUUUGUUAUGACUGAGCAACUCCUUUGGAAUCAACUUUUUACCAUCUUCAAUGUACACUGAUACAACAAAAAUUUAACUUCCUCAUCACACUCAAGCUCAAGCAAAGUCACAGAAUUUUUUAUACUGUCACUCCCGUUUCUUUAGAUCGUAUACAACGCUAUGAGUUUCUCCCACUAAGAAAACUAGAGAUGUGCUGAUCAUAAUUCCAGGGAUGCCCCACUCGUGAUCUAGGAUACGUGGCAAAGGGUAAGCCACACCAGAACCCUGGGAUACGAAGGACACAAGCGAAUCAACACCAGCAUGAUUAAAUUGUUCCACUUCUGUUAAAUCUCAUACAUUAGUUUAUAGCCCCAU